GUGGGGCUGUGGGAGUUCGGCUCCCGUAGGUGAAGUCGGGGCGAGGUCUGGCUCCCGUGGGAGUCCGAACGGGGUCUACCUGUAAUUGAAGUCAGGCGAAAUUUGGCUCCCGUGGGAGUCCGGGCGGAACUUACCAGCGUUUGAAGUUGAGGACGAAGCUCGGCUCCCGUAGGAGUCCGGACGAAGUUUGCCUACAGCCGAAGUUGGAGGAGGAGUCCGGCUCCCGUAAGAGCCCGAACGGAGCUUGCCUGCAGUUG
rnacentral:lncRNA from 1 species